rnacentral:rRNA from 1 species
UGUCGACCUCAGAUCAGACGAGAUUACCCGCUAAAUUUAAGCAUAUCAAUAAGCGGUGGAAAAGAAACGAAAACGAAUUCUCCUAGUAGCGGCGAGCGAAACGAGAAAAGUCCAUACACCGAAGUCGGCGAGCAGUUGUGUUCGUCAACAGUGUGGUGUUAAAGGUGUCGUUGCAUGUGCUGACAUGAGUUCGUAGGCUCCCUUGAUUGGGGCUUCAGAGCGGGUGCAGGACCCAUAACGAACGGUGUUUUGUGCAUGGCGUCGCGGCUCCUAAUCGAGUCGGGUUGCUUGAGACUGCAGCCCAAAGCGGGUGGUAAAUUUCACCCAAGACUAAAUAUUCGUACGAGACCGAUAGCGAACAAGUACCGCGAGGGAAAGUUGAAAAGAACUCUGAAGAGAGAGUUCAACAGGACGUGAAACCGUUGACAGGCAAACGGAUGGAGCUGACGGUGCAAUUUUGACCAAAAUCAGUCGUCGCUGGGUUCGUUGGCGAAUGAAUCUUUUGCAAACUUCUUGUUUGUGUUGUGUAGAUUAUCUUUCGUUUCGAAUCUACGCACGGUGCACUUUUGGUCGAUCAGCGUCACGAGCAACGUUCGCAAAUGUUUUUGCUGCCGACAGUAAUUCUGUUUGUUGUUUUUUAAAUGCAACAAACAAUAAACGCGGCUUGUGGAAGAUGUAAUUGUGUGAUAAAAAGUUUUGUCUCAAUUGCCGUGCCAUUGCCGCAUCUGUCGGAUGAAUGUUGUUGUUGACAAGUUGAAAAGCAUUGUUUUUUGCGUUCAAUUGUGUAAUGGGUCUGUUGGUGCCGUUGCGUUCGUGGGUUUCGGUUCACGAUUUGUCUGGUAGGUCGGGAAAAAAAUCAAUUAUGAAUAUAAUUGAUCUGACUACCGUGCGUAACGGUAUUCAAAUGUGUGUUUGAUGGACUUUAUUUGCAAUGGGCGCUCAAUGUGUUUUCUUAUAUCGGUGGCGUCAAUGUUAGCCUCCCAUCCGACCCGUCUUGUAACACGGACCAAGGAGUUCAGUAGGCACGCGAGUCGUUGACGUUUUUCAUUGAACAGUCGAAGGCGAAAUGAAAGUGUUCAUGAAAAUGAACUGUACUCUUUUUUAUGGAGUGCUGUUCAAUUUCAACAUGAUCGUCCUUUUUUUGCGCUUGUGGUGCAAAAUAGUAGAUGUAUGGGGACGCGCAGUGUGGUGCCGUUGAAUAGUCGCACUGUUCUCUCUUUCUCUUCGGGGUUGGAGGAACAAUUGUCGAUCAGUCGGUUUCGGAGCGUGCACACUGGUACCCGAAAGAUGGUGAACUAUGCUUGAGCAGAAUGAAGCCAGAGGAAACUCUGGUGGAAGUUCGUAGCGGUGUUGACGUGCAAAUCACUCGUCUGACUUGAGUGUAGGGGCGAAAGACUAAUCGAACCAUCUAGUUGCUGGUUCCUUCCGAAGUUUCCCUCAGGAUAGCUGGCAUUUGUUUGUAACAAUUUUAUCCGGUAGAGCGAAUGAUUAGAGGUGUUGGGAACGCAAUGUUCUCAGCCUAUUCUCAAACUUCGAAUGGGUAAGCAAGGCGUUUUGCUUUGAUUUUACGAUGAAAUCGCCCAAUUAGAAGAAUGUAUAAAUGCCUAGUGGGCCAAUUUUGGUAAGCAGAACUGGCGAUGUGGAAUGAACCAAAAGUCAGGUUAAGGUGCCAGACAUUGGCGCUCAUGAAAUACCAGAAAAGGUGUUGGUCGAUAUAGACAGCAGGACGGUGGCCAUGGAAGUUGGAAUCCGCCAAGGAGUGUGUAACAACUCACCUGCCGAAUCGACUAGCCCUGAAAAUGGAUAGCGUUUGAGCUCCAGGCCCAUACCUGACCGUCUCAAUUACGCACCCUUUUUUCGGAAAAGGUGUAAUGCACGUUGAGACGGGUAGGAAGGUCGCGACAGUGUUGCUUUGAAGAGUUUUGAGCGUGAGCUCGCUCGGAGCCGCUGUCGGUGCAGAUCUUGGUGGUAGUAGCAAAUAUUCAAGUGAGAACCUUGAAGGCUGAAGUGGAGCAAGGUUCCAUGUGAACAGCAGUUGGACAUGGGUCAGUCGAUCCUAAGAAAACGGCGAAAGCUUUUUCGAAUUUGCGACAUGAAUUGUAAGACUGUGAAUAAUUGUGUGCGUGUGUUUGCCAAUUAUUAAUUGUUGUGCGCAGUUGUCGUAUGUUUUCGAAAGGGAAUCCGGUUGAUAUUCCGGAACCGAGUAACGGAGACAAAGAGUAGCGCUUUAAUCUCUCUCUCUCUGUGGGGUUGGCGUUCAACUCAAUCGCGCGGUAACGCAAGCGAACUCGGAAAAUGACCGUCGUGAGUUUCGAAAAGAGUUUUCUUUUCUUUUUAAGGGACGCAUUCCCUGGAACCGGGUUGUCCGGAGAUAGGGAUUUUGGUAUCCAUAAAACGCCGACUUUUUCACGGUGUUCGGAGCGCUCUCGUCGGUACGUGAAAAUCCGAGCGACGCCUGGUAAAUCUCGUACUUGGUCGUACUGAUAUCCGCAGCAGGUCU